rnacentral:rRNA from 1 species
AGUGACACUGCGCCGAAAAUGUACCGGGGCUAAACAUAUUACCGAAGCUGUGGAUUGUCCUUUGGACAAUGGUAGGAGAGCGUUCUAAGGGCGUUGAAGCAUGAUCGUAAGGACAUGUGGAGCGCUUAGAAGUGAGAAUGCCGGUGUGAGUAGCGAAAGACGGGUGAGAAUCCCGUCCACCGAUUGACUAAGGUUUCCAGAGGAAGGCUCGUCCGCUCUGGGUUAGUCGGGUCCUAAGCUGAGGCCGACAGGCGUAGGCGAUGGAUAACAGGUUGAUAUUCCUGUACCACCUAUAAUCGUUUUAAUCGAUGGGGGGACGCAGUAGGAUAGGCGAAGCGUGCGAUUGGAUUGCACGUCUAAGCAGUAAGGCUGAGUAUUAGGCAAAUCCGGUACUCGUUAAGGCUGAACUGUGAUGGGGAGAAGACAUUGUGUCUUCGAGUCGUUGAUUUCACACUGCCGAGAAAAGCCUCUAGAUAGAAAAUAGG